rnacentral:rRNA from 1 species
AUUGAACGCUGGCGGCAGGCUUAACACAUGCAAGUCGAGCGGGGUGAUGGUGCUUGCACUAUCACUUAGCGGCGGACGGGUGAGUAAUGCUUAGGAAUCUGCCUAUUAGUGGGGGACAACAUCUCGAAAGGGAUGCUAAUACCGCAUACGUCCUACGGGAGAAAGCAGGGGAUCACUUGUGACCUUGCGCUAAUAGAUGAGCCUAAGUCGGGUUAGCUAGUUGGUGGGGUAAAGGCCUACCAAGGCGACGAUCUGUAGCGGGUAUGAGAGGAUGAUCCGCCACACUGGGACUGAGACGCGGCCCAGACUCCUACGGGAGGCAGCAGUGGGGAAUAUUGGACAAUGGGGGGAACCCUUAUCCAGCCAUGCCGCGUGUGUGAAGAAGGCCUUAUGGUUGUAAAGCACUUUAAGCGAGGAGGAGGCUCUUUUGGUUAAUACCCAAGAUGAGUGGACGUUACUCGCAGAAUAAGCACCGGCUAACUCUGUGCCAGCCGCCGCGGUAA